CCUACGGGUGGCUGCAGUGGGGAAUAUUGGACAAUGGGCGAAAGCCUGAUCCAGCCAUGCCGCGUGUGUGAAGAAGGCCUUCGGGUUGUAAAGCACUUUCAGUGGGGAAGAAAGCCUUGGGGCUAAUACCCUCGAGGAAGGACAUCACCCACAGAAGAAGCACCGGCUAACUCCGUGCCAGCAGCCGCGGUAAUACGGAGGGUGCGGGCGUUAAUCGGAAUUACUGGGCGUAAAGCGCGCGUAGGCGGUCUGAUAAGCCGGUUGUGAAAGCCCCGGGCUCAACCUGGGAACGGCAUCCGGAACUGUCAGGCUAGAGUGCAGGAGAGGAAGGUAGAAUUCCCGGUGUAGCGGUGAAAUGCGUAGAGAUCGGGAGGAAUACCAGUGGCGAAGGCGGCCUUCUGGACUGACACUGACGCUGAGGUGCGAAAGCGUGGGUAGCAAACAGGAUUAGAUACCCCAGUAGUC
rnacentral:rRNA from 1 species